ACAUUUCAAAACUUUCCCAAAAUAGUCAAGUUUUAUAAUAUAAAAAUCUCACUCACCCACUACUUUCAACUACUUUUCUAAAUCUAUCAAUUAUAUAUUGAUGGGUCCCACUACUUUACCCACUUUUCCUUCUCUUUCUUCUUAAUUUACAUUACUUUAUACACAUUUCUUAGUCUCCGUGUCCAAUCCAUAUGUAUACAAUUCCGAGGGACGGAGGGAGUAUGUUUUUAAAGUAAAAAGUUAGCAAUUGCAUAUUUACGUCCUCAACGAUCUCCGCUCGAUUUCUUCAUAUGCAGGGUGUUCGGGUUUGCUUCAUCAAUCUCUCUCCUUUACCAUUUUCCGUUCUUCUUUCACUCUCAUGUCUCAAAUCUCCCUAUCCUCUCUUCUCGCACUCUUUUUCACAUCACCAAACAUCCAGAAACUCCAUCAAUUUCUGGAUGGCUUUGAUCUUCCAGAAACUCAAAAAAUAUGUUGUUUUUGUUGGUUAUAAAAGAUGGGAGGGUGAGGAUUGUCGUGAUUGCCCAGGUUGCGGGGUGUGAGGAGGCAUGGAAGGGUUUCGCAAGGGACACUCAUUUCGGGUUGAAUGGGUACUAAACAGGUCGGGUUCGGGUUGAAAAUUUCAAGUCGUUUCGGGUUCGGGUUCAAAUUAUUAUAGAUUAUAUAUAUUAUCUAUUUAGCAUUAAGAUUAUGUAAAAUAUUACUGCAUAUACUUAUCGACAAAUAUAACAAAAUUACAUAAUUAGCUAAAUUAUGGUCUAGGAAAAUAUAUUUCCUUGAUUGGAGUGGAAGAAUUUUUUAAAUACUAUCUAUAAUUUUUAUUUAUAAAUUAUUAUUUCGGGACUACGAGGAGCGGAUAUACUCCAGGUAUCUCGGCUUUGUAUGAAAGAAGAGCACAAACGGCAUUUGUUUAGGUUCAAGGGUUAGGAAACCAAUUAAACUUUAAACUAAAGUAGAGGGGCUAUGUUUGGACAACUAACAUAAGAAUAAUCUGGGCUCAAAAUGGGAUGGUGAUUCAAGUUUAGCAUUAUGUAGUGGAUAUUGUCUUAAAAUAAGAACACUUUUGAUUACUUGGCGCACUUUCAUAUAUUUAUACGAGAGUAAUGCUAGGUGCACAUAAUUGUGUACAGAAAAUUUGUACAUAAUGAUGUGGUAAGUGAUGUGGUGGGUUUUAAUUGGGGUGGUUGGUGUAAAUGCAGGGGAUCAUCCAAUUAAAAUCCGCUAAAUGUCAUUAUCUACCUGUUUUUGUACACAAUUAUGUGCAGUAAGCAUUUUCCUUUAUAUGAUAUACAAUUUGCAUAUUCUUUAUAGGAACAAAAUUUAGUGGAGAUUUUGAACUUGUGUUUGCGCUAAAUUAGGUCAGUACGUAAUAGAACAAGUGCGGUCUCACAUCACCGGUAUAACAUGGUUUUUGUAGUGCAUGGUUUGUUUUGCUUCCCACCGUUGAGUUUUGAGUUGGUGCAAGGUUUUAUAAACUGUUUGCGGUUGCAUUAGAGGUAAUUGCAUAUCGCACCCCCUAAGUAUCGUUCAAAAACGAUAUUGUACCCAUACUUUGAGAAACUCAACUCGCACCCCCUAUCUUUACAUUUCACGAACGAUACGCACCCCUUCCGUUAAAUUCCGUUAAAUUCUGUUAACUUCCGUUAAAAUACUCCUUCCGUCUCAAUUUACAUGUCCUUUUUGCUUUUCGCGGGGUCAAAUUGACUAAUUUUUGACCGACUAUUAGAAAAUAUUUAUUUAUUAUUUUAGGAAAUAGAAAGUUACAUAUUAAAAUAAACUAGAUUUACUUUUUUGAUGAUUUUUUUUAAAAAAAUUUUGUUUAAUUAAGCUAUCCCCAAGUCAAAAUGAUUUUACAUAUCAAAUUUUUGUUUGAUAAAAGUGUAUAUUUUAUAAAAAAUAUCACAUAAUAUUUAUUUUUAUAUUUAAAAUAGUUUAUAUUUUAAGUACUUAAUACACAUACCACUAAAAAUUUAAAAUAAUUUGAUAUGUAAAAUCAUUUUGACCUGGGGAUAUCUUAAUUAAAUAAAAAUUAAAAAAAAAAUAUGACCAAGAAGUGAAUUUAGUCUAUAUUAAUAUGUAACUUUCUAUUUCCUAAAAUAAUAAAUAAAUAUUUUCUAAUAGUUGGUCAAAAAUUAGCCAAUUUGACUUCUCGAAAAGCAAAAAGGACAUGUAAAUUGAGACGGAUGGAGUAUUUUAACGGAAGGGGGGUGCGUAUCGUUCUUGAAAUGUAAAAAUAGGUUGUGCGAUUUGAGUUUCCAAAAGUAUGGGCACAAUAUCGUUUUUGAACGUAAGUUAGGGGGUCUGAUUUGCAAUUACUUGUAUAGGGAGUUAACGGAGUUAACGGCGUUAACGGCAGAGGGGUGCAUCUCGGGUUUGAACUAUAAAGAUAAGGGGUGCGAGUUGAGUUUCUCAAAGUAUGGGUACAAUAUCGUUUUUGAACGAUAGUUAGGGGGUGCGAUAUGCAAUUACCUCUUUGCAUUAUGAUAUUUAAAUUGUACACUGUUUGUGAGUUGUGUACUGUAGACAUCCAUUCUCCAAUUAUUUACAAAAGCUCUACUAAUGCCAUCUACGUUCACAGACACUAUGAUACCACUUUAGCUUAUUUCUAAUUCUAUUUAUAUUAAACCUUAUUCUUUUAACAAAACAUGUAAUUUUCUGUCAAAACAAAACAAAACAUGUAAUUUUUAUUUGGAUCGCAUGUUUAGAUAUUCCUUCGUAUUGGUUUCUUUUUUCGUGGCAAAACAGCCUUUUCAUGUACGAGAAAUAUAUUUUUUUUUUUGCUAAAUAUGUACGAGAAAUAUUGGAGCAUGUAUAUAUCGCACUUUGCUAAA